CGCCAAGAACUCCCCCCACGAGUGGGGGGCUGCCGGUAGCGUAGGAAUAAGCAUCGGCUAACUCCGUGCCAGCAGCCGCGGUAAUACGGAGGAUGCAAGCGUUAUCCGGAUUCAUUGGGUUUAAAGGGUGCGCAGGCGGGCUUGUAAGUCAGUGGUGAAAUACUGCCGCUUAACGGUAGAAUUGCCAUUGAUACUGCGAGUCUUGAGUAUGGUUGAGGUAGGCGGAAUGUGCAGUGUAGCGGUGAAAUGCAUAGAGAUUGCACAGAACACCGAUUGCGGAGGCAGCUUACUAAGCCAUAACUGACGCUGAGGCACGAAAGCGUGGGGAGCGAACAGGAUUAGAUACCCUGGUAGUCCACGCUGUAAACGAUGUUCACUCGCUGUUUGCGAUACACAGUAAGCGGCUGAGCGAAAGCAUUAAGUGAACCACCUGGGGAGUACGAUCGCAAGGUUGAAACUCAAAGGAAUUGACGGGGGCCCGCACAAGCGGAGGAACAUGUGGUUUAAUUCGAUGAUACGCGAGGAACCUUACCUGGGCUUAAAUGUAGGCUGCAUUCCCGAGAAAUCGGGAUUCCCUUCGGGGCUGCUUACAAGGUGCUGCAUGGUUGUCGUCAGCUCGUGCCGUGAGGUGUCGGGUUAAGUCCCAUAACGAGCGCAACCCUUAUCGUUAGUUGCCAUCAGGUAAAGCUGGGGACUCUAGCGAGACUGCCACCGUAAGGUGAGAGGAAGGUGGGGAUGACGUCAAAUCAGCACGGCCCUUAUGUCCAGGGCUACACACGUGUUACAAUGGCCGGUACAGAGGGAAGCUACCUGGUGACAGGUUGCCAAUCUUAAAAGCCGGUCUCAGUUCGGAUUGGAGUCUGCAACCCGACUCCAUGAAGUUGGAUUCGCUAGUAAUCGCGCAUCAGCCAUGGCGCGGUGAAUACGUUCCCGGGCCUUGUACACACCGCCCGUCAAACCAUGGGAGCUGGGGGUGCCUGAAGUCU
rnacentral:rRNA from 1 species